UAUUAAAGGCAACGCCUGCCCAGUGAAUAAUUUAACGGCCGCGGUACCCUAACCGUGCAAAGGUAGCGUAAUAACUUGUCUAUUAAUUGUAGACCCGUAUGAAAGGCAUAAUGAGGGCUUAUCUGUCUCUUUUAGUAAAUCAAUUAAACUGAUCUCCUAGUCCAAAAGCUAGGAUACAACCAUAAGACCAGAAGACCCUGUGAAGCUUUAACUAACCUAUCAAACCCAAUGAUAGCUCCUUUAGGUUGGGGCGACCUUGGAAAAAAAAAGAACUUCCAAACACAUAAUCUAAAAUUACCCACUCAGGCCGACAAGCCUACAACGACCCAGCAUAGCUGACAAUUGAACCAAGUUACUCCAGGGAUAACAGCGCUAUCUUCUUCAAGAGCCCAUAUCAAAAAGAAGGUUUACGACCUCGAUGUUGGAUCAGGACAUCCUAAUGGUGCAGCCGCUAUUAAGGGUUCGUUUGUUCACGAUUAC
rnacentral:rRNA from 1 species